UAGAAUCCAGUGGGGAUCCUAGGCCUUCAAAUUCCUGUUUUUGUAAUUCAAGGUGAUGAUUUUGGUUAGAAGUGGAUGGAUCUGAUGGACUAAUUCUGGAUGUAAUGGUUUUGUAUAAAAUUUAAUUUGUAAAAACUCAAUGAAUAAUUGAGCUACCAUGAUAUGAUCCUCAUGAUACUACUAAGGAGGUCAGCCAUAUAUUUAUUAGCUUCCUCAAACUCAAUACAAAGUGCAUUGAGAGCUGUUACUCCCAACCGUUUGUUUUGUAUUAUAGUCCAAAGAUUAUCU
rnacentral:misc_RNA from 1 species